rnacentral:rRNA from 1 species
UCUCUGCCCAAUGAAUAAUUUUAAUGGCCGCAGUAUUUUGACUGUGCAAAGGUAGCAUAAUCAAUAGUUUUUUAAUUGAAAACUGGUAUGAAAGAGUUGAUAAAAUAUAUACUUUAUUUAUUUAAAAAAUUUAAUUUAAAAUUUUAGUAAAAAUUCUAAAAUUUAUUUAUGGGACGAGAAGACCCUUUAGAAUUUUAUAAUAUUUGAAUUUAAUAGUUUUAUUUAUUAUUUUUUAAGUUUAAAUAUUAUUUUAUUGGGAGGAUAUUUAAAUUUAAUUAACUUUAAAAUUUUAUUUAAACAAUAAUUAUUGAAUUGAAGAUUUUAUUUAAUUAAUUAAUAGAUUAAAUUACCUAAGGGAUAACAGCGUAAUAUUUUUGGAGAGUUCAUAUUGAUAAAAAUGUUUGCGACCUCGAUGUUGAAUUAAAAUAAAAUUUAAAUGUAGGUGUUUAAAGUUUAAGUCUGUUCGACUUUUAAAAUUUUCAUGAUUUGAGUUCAAAUC